UACGUAGGGUGCGAGCGUUGUCCGGAAUUACUGGGCGUAAAGAGCUCGUAGGUGGUUUGUCGCGUUGUUCGUGAAAACUCACAGCUCAACUGUGGGCGUGCGGGCGAUACGGGCAGACUGGAGUACUGCAGGGGAGACUGGAAUUCCUGGUGUAGCGGUGGAAUGCGCAGAUAUCGGGAAGAACACCCGUGGCGAAGGCGGCACUCUGGGACGGUACUGACGCUGAGACGCGAAAGCGUGGGGAGCGAACAGG
rnacentral:rRNA from 1 species